UAAAGGGUGCGUAGGUGGGCAAGUAAGUCAGUGGUGAAAUCUCUGGGCUUAACCCGGAAACUGCCAUUGAUACUAUUUGUCUUGAAUUCUCUGGAGGUAAGCGGAAUAUGUCAUGUAGCGGUGAAAUGCUUAGAUAUGACAUAGAACACCCAUUGCGAAGGCAGCUUACUACGGAGACAUUGACACUGAGGCACGAAAGCGUGGGGAUCAAACAGGAUUAGAUACCCUGGUAGUCCACGCCCUAAACGAUGAUUACUCGACAUUAGCGAUAUUACUGUUAGUGUCUAAGCGAAAGCAUUAAGUAAUCCACCUGGGAAGUACGACCGCAAGGUUGAAACUCAAAGGAAUUGGCGGGGGUCCGCACAAGUGGUGGAGCAUGUGGUUUAAUUCGAUGAUACGCGAGGAACCUUACCUGGGGCUAGAAUGCAUUUUGACCGCUACUGCACGCUUGCUUUGUAGCAAUACACCAUUUGCUUAGGUGCUGCCUGGCUGUCGUCAGCUCGUGCCGUGAGGUGUUGGGUUAAGUCCCGCUACGAGCGCAACCCCUAUCUUUAGUUGCCAUCAGGUAAUGCUGGGAACUCUAAAGAAACUGCCGUCGUAAGACGUGAGGAAGGAGGGGAUGAUGUCAAGUCAUCAUGGCCUUUAUGCCCAGGGCUACACACGUGCUACAAUGGGGAGGACAAAGGGCUGCCACUUAGCGAUAAGGAGCUAAUCCCAAAAACCUUCUCUCAGUUCAGAUUGGAGUCUGCAACUCGACUCCAUGAAGCUGGAAUCACUAGUAAUCGUAUAUCAGCAAUGAUA
rnacentral:rRNA from 1 species